UACGUAGGGGGCAAGCGUUGUCCGGAUUUAUUGGGCGUAAAGAGCGUGUAGGCGGUUUGGUAGGUCCGUUGUGAAAACUCGAGGCUCAACCUCGAGACGCCGGCGGAAACCAUCGAGCUAGAGUCCGGAAGAGGAGAGUGGAAUUCCUGGUGUAGCGGUGAAAUGCGCAGAUAUCGGGAGGAACACCCGUAGCGAAGGCGGCACUCUGGGCCGGAACUGACGCUGAGGAGCGAAAGCGUGGGGAGCAAACAGG
rnacentral:rRNA from 1 species